GCUGCAGUUGUGAGGGCUCUUGAAAGGCACACUGAGCACCACCUCCAUCCCAGAAGAGCACGGCAGUCCCGGAGGGGAUUGUACCCGAGCGUGAGGCCGGUCUUCUUCUUUUGAUUGUUUUUAGCCUGUCCCGUCCUGUGUCUAUACCGGGACUAGUUUUUCUUUUUCCACCAUUUUUUUUUUUGCCCUUGUGCUCCCUUCCUGCUCACCCAGCCUAGACCCCGCUAAAUAGGACAAGUCCAGUCUGGUCCUCGCCGCCAAGCGGGUCUUUUUCCAGGCUGUACCCCGUUAGAUACGACCUUCUUGUAAUGGCACGUGCGAAUAACAGGCUGCAACCCUACUCACCUGACAUGAACCCUUGGAUCAGCAUGUGUUUCACAUGGAUCCAAGACCUUGUACAGCUGCUGGGCUGUGUGCAGCACUGCUUGCCGAGAGGAAUAGGAUUCCCAGGGAUAAAUAAACAGUGCUGUCAAGUUGCCGCAAUGGAAGUACUUCCACAGGAAGAGAAUGCCUGUACGUGUCAGUAAAAGAAGAUGAUGCAGAAAAAUCUGAAAGAACUAAAUAAGCCUCAAAUUAGUUUCAAUGAUGUCCAAUUAUGACAAAAGCAGUAACUAACACUUUGGAGA